ACCCCCAAUUUAUUAAAACCCUAGCUAACCCAAACUUAGAAAAACACUAAAUUGAUUCCCCAUAUCAACCUUAUACAUCUGUUCGUGGUUAGAUCCCCUCUCGCUCACCUCUGUUCGUGAUCAAAUCAAGUUAAAUCCAGUCUCUAUCGUGGUCUACUCCUCCCUCUAACCCUCUGUUCGUACUCCAGUGAAAGGUGUUUGAAAUGGACAAUGCUGGUUUCCAAUCAUGAAUAAGAGGUGUUGGUGUGGCCAAAGAGCUUCGAUAUUUAUUUCUGAGUCCGCGAACAAUCCUCAUAGGUUAUAUUUCAAAUGCAGUAGAAGAGUUUGCAAAUACUUUGAAUGGGGGACUCCUUCUGCUACCCAAAAUAACAUUAGAGCUCCAACUCCUCUACCUGCUUAUGUUGUGCCUCAUGUAGCUCAUCCCUUGCUAGAAGAAGUUCCUCGAACAACUGUUAAUUCAGUUGCAAGUGUUAUGUUUAUUGGAAGCCUUAUUUUAUUUAGGUUCUCUGUUCUAAAUUUUUUUGUUGCUCUGAUUAUUAAGUGAAACAAUGUAGGAAGAUAAGGCCUAUCCAGUUAAAGUUAGGUCUGUUUUAGAGGUGUGGGGUUGUUGUAUGAUAUUUUGGAAUUUUAGGUUGUAUAGUUGUAUGCUAUGUAGGAAGAUGGGGCAUAUCUAAUUGUA